rnacentral:lncRNA from 1 species
GUUUGCCCUCAUAUAAUCCAAACCACUUCUUAUUCUGUACUCUCAUGAGAAAGAUUAGAGAGAAACUGUCAAAAUCCUGUGAACCCUGACUGGCAUCUAUUCCCAAGAUCUGUAGACAAAGCAAAAGUCUUACAUCUUAUUUUCCAUAGCAGGUACUCUGGCUCUUCCAGUUUUACACUGAUUUUUUCCCCUCAUAUGUGACCCAUCUAAAAGGAAUGUUCUCAUCUAAAUGAUUUUUCUCUCUCACACCCACUCUAUUUCCCCAGAAAAUCAGGACAAAAUUCUAGAAAGCUGAUGAACACACAUCUCUUUAAAUUUCACAGCUCUCUCUGAUGUUGGCCUCACCUCCAAAUGUAGUUCUCCAGAGGUAUGGAAUAGUUUUCACUGAACAGAAAACAAUAAAGGUUUAGGUCAUUUUAAUGAUGGAGAAACUGAAGAAAAAGAGGAAAAAUACAGAGACACUCUAAGGACACAGCUGAAACACAUGUGAUCUUGUCCCCAUGCCACUAGGCAAAAUCUAUAUAUUAUUCAAAGUAUAAUCUUGCUGACUCUCUCAUCUCUGUCCAUAAUUAGAGAUCAGAUCCUCCUUGAGAGGGGUGUAUGUGUUUGGUUCAUGGCAUUCAAUCCAAAUAGUUUUCUCAUUGUUUAAAACAAAUUUGCUUCCUGGAGUUCCCUUUGUGGCACAGUGAAAAUCAAUCCAACUAGGAACUGUAAGGUUGUGGGUUCGAUCCCUAGCCUCACACAGAGGGUUAAGGAUCCAGCGCUGCUGUGAGCUGUGGUGUAGGUCGCAAACGAGACUUAGAUAUUGCAUUGCUGUGGCUAUGGCUGUGGUGUAGGCUGGCAGCUGUAGCCCCCAUUCGACCCCUAGCCUGGGAACCUCCAUAUGCCAUGGGUGCAGCCCCCAAAAACCAACAAAUUUGUUUCCUGAAAAUUUAAUAAUCUCCCUCAAUUAUGCCUCCCUCUUUUUCAUCUAUGUAGAUAAACAAGAACCAGGAGGAAAGGAGCAAUGAUCUUCCUUGUUCCCUGCUCCGACACUUCUCACUAAGUGCCCAGCCUCAUCAGAUCUUCCUCCAGGCUCCAGCUGGGCUUCUACUGACAUUCCUCGUACAGUAGGGUUUCUCAACCUCAACACUACUAACAUUUAGGUGAUAAGUGGCUUCCCUAAGCACUGUAGGAUAUUUCUCAGUAUUCUUGGUCUCUACUCAUUGGAUGCCCGUACACCCACUAGUUGUGACACCCAAAUAUAUCUCAAGACAUUUCCAAGUGCCCCCAGAGGAGAAGGGGCAAAACUGCCCUUGGUUGAGAAUCACUCUUCCAGGGUCAUAAAAAGUGGGGUCAGGCAGAGGCCACAGGAAGCUAGUUCUCAGAGAAUGACUCUUAACCUUUUUGGUGUCAGUACUCUCAGAGAACUCAGUGAAGAAUUAUUUUUUUACCUUAUGUCCACAAAUACACUUAAGGACAUAUGGUCAAAAUUUUACUUCAAAAACUCCCUUAAGCUAAAAAAAUAAAAGCUCUAGAGCAUUAAUUCCUUUACCUGAACACUGAAAUUUUUUUUAUAUAGGACUUUCCCAAUAAGCAAAGCAAAACAGAAAUAAAAAGAAAAUACUGAAAAUGUAGAAUACUGACAAAGUUUUGUAAGAUAGAGAUAUCUGAACAUAAUGAAAAUCUAAUCACACAAUGGCUCUGCACAGUUUAAGGGCUCACAAGCUCUACAUUUUUCCUUCUAUUCUGGUUUUGGUGGUACAUGGUGGGCAUAGCUGCCUUCCAUUUUGCCUUCUAUUCUGAGUGACCUCAUCUCAAUGCUUUAUUUUCCACCUCCACCAUAUCCCCUUUCCUUCCUAGAAAAGCAUAGAAUUAGAAGAGUAGGAAUCGCUCAUUUUUAUCUGGAACCCACUAAGGGCCAGGCACUUUCUGAGUACAUUUACUUAUAUUUGCUGAUGUCAUCCUCAUACAAUGAAUAAGUAGCAUUAUGAUUCCUUCUUUACAGAUAAGGAAACAGAGGCACUUAGAGAUAAAGUAACUUUCCAAAAGUCACACAGCUAAUAACUGGCAGAACCAAAAGUUAAAUUUAGGCUGGUCUCAGAGUCCAUGCUCUUGGGCCCCCUACCUUCCAAAUUAUGUGUUGUCCACAGUCCUAGGUGGACAAUGGGUAGCAAUUAUCUAGUGGUGAGAGAUUUUCAUACAUUUCCCAGGAUGUAUGGCUGUAGCAGCCAAUACCACAGACACCAGCCAACUUCAUUUCCUCCUUGUCUCCUCUUCCCCUUCAGUCUCUCUGCCUCUUAUCACCUCUCUUUCCCUACGAAGACUGCAAACUAGUUGUUCCUGUCAUGGCUCAGUGGUUAACGAAUCUGACUAGGAACCAUGAGGUUUUGGCUUCCUAGUGGGUUAAGGAUCCAGCGUUGCCAUGAGCUGUGGUGUAGGUCGCAGACACGGCUUGGAUCUGGCGUUGCUGUGGCUGUGGCAUAGGCUACAGAUCCAAUUAGACCCCUAGCUGGGAACCUCCAUGUGCUGUGGCAGCGGCCUUAGAAAAGACAAAAAGACAAAAAAAAAAAAAAAAAAGACUGCAAACUAGAUGACAUGGGGACAUGGGGGAACAGUCUGGAUAGAUAAAGUCCAUCUUAUUAUCAAAAUGAGAAAACUAGCUUCAAGGGCAUUAUUUUGAUUCAAAUUGAGCAAUAUAUUUUUUCUAAUGACAUUUUUUUUUCUCUUUUAGGACCCCACCUGCAGCAUAUGGAGGUUCACAGGCUAGGGAUCAAAUGGGAGCUACAGCUGCCUGCCUAUACCACAGUCACAGCAACACCAGAUCUGAGCCACAUCUGUGACCUAUGCUGCAGUUUGCAGGCAAUGCCAGAUCUUUAACCCACUGAGCAAGGCCGGGGAUGGAACCCACAUCCUCAUGGAUAUUAGCCAGGUUCUUAACCCACUGAGCCACAAUGGGAACUCCUCUAAUGGCAUUUCUUGAAUGAGCAAAAAUGCCCAACUUAUAACGAAGAUAUAGUAUUAGUGUCCAAAAAAGGGAACUAUCAGUGAGACUUACUCAAAGUCUUGCUUAACUCCUCUCUGUGUCUUAGGUCCGGAGAUUUUUUUUUUUUUUUCUAAAUCACUUAUACUUUAAUAAUGUGUAAAAAAUGAAGUAGGAUGACACUUGUCUGAAGUCAUGUACCACUGGCAGUGCUUAUUUUAGGGUUCUUUUUUGACCUACAAAAUGAAGGAAAAAAUAUGUUCUGCUUAUUAAAGGGAUAGAUUGAAACUUACAGAAUUAAGAAUUUUGGAGCUGGAAGAAACUAUGCCAGUACCCCUACAACCAAAUAUCAAAGAGAAAUUAUGCCCAAAUAAGUUAAAUAACAAUUGUAAGAUUCUGUAAUGAGUGCUAAUGUAUAAUUUCCCUUUUGGUAGUCUGAAUGAUAAUUUAACAUUUAAGUAACUUUAUUUUAUUUAUUUAUUUAUUUAUUUAUUUAUUUUUAAGGUCCAGAGAUUUUAAAGGUGGCACAACCUGUAAUUUGCUGCAUGCAGCAUCUUUCAGAGUUACACUGUGGCUGAAUUUAUUUUUAACAAAAUACAGUCAAUAAAGGCUUUCAAUGCUAAAGUCAGUUGACAAGAAUUGUGCCUUGACCGUGGACCCUGACUUCUUCAUGGACGCAACUCCAGAACGACUAAACCUCUCAGCAGUUUAGAGUCACUCUCAACCAAGACAAAAGUUCAUAAAGGCUUUUGAAUCUUAACUCCCAGUCAUUCACAUCAGACAGUGUCUCUGAACUAUCUCCCAUGCCAAUAGUACUAUCUGAUUGUUUUUCUAAACUGUAUAGAAACAUUGGAGCUAUUGUAGAGGAGUCAGCUUCCUCCUUUGAGAAAUACUAAUUAGUAGCCUUUAAGUUGGUUCUCGGAACUGCGCGUGCGCCCUCUCCCAGUAGCGGCGCACCAAUGUCGUUUUCCCAGCAGGAACUGUGAGCUGGGCUGCUCUUUAGUUACAAGCAAAUUUUAUUGUUUUCCCUAAGCGAAAAUAAAGUAGUCUGGUGAUAGAAAGGAAUUAGAGAGACAAGACUUCAUUUGGGAGCUUGACGGAACCUGUUCGGAGUGGAAAAUUCCGUUUUCCAUAUUUUCUGAAUGUUUCAGGCAGUGGCUUGGAACCAACUUAAAUCCUAUUGCACUUUGUUCUCUCUAGUUAACUUCUACACAGCCGUGGGGUUGAUGGUGGAAAGUCACUUUUCCUCAGCUUUGGACAGCGUGCUGUGCUUCAGCUUCUCAUCAGUAAAGAACUCAUUUCAUUUGCACUCUCUUUCCCACUAUAAAAUUCUAAGAAUUAACUAAGUAUCUGUAGCACUUUUAAGAGUUUUGCCCAAGGCUUUUUUUAUUAUUAUUAUUAUUUUAUUUUUAGCUAACAUUUUCAGGAGCUGUGCAUGGUCCUCCCUGACAACUGCAGAUGGAGAGCUGAUGUGGUUAAAUAAGUUUUCACGAGGUCUGAGUAGAUAAUAAAAUAUAUUGUAAGUAAAACUAAAUUCUUCUAUUUUCCAUUUUAACUAGACCAAAGAUCUCUUGAAGAUACAAAACUCUUUUUUAACUUUUAAUUGCCUCCCAAAUUCCUAAUAUACUUGACAUUUAUUCUGUAACCAUUGUGUCCUUCAUAUAUAUAAAAUAUCAUUUAGGCGUCUCAACAAAUCUGAAGACAAACUAUUAAACCCAUCUUACAAGAGCCUGAGGUUUAGAAAAACAAAGCCUAUGUGCCCAGUGUCAUGGAGUAAGUGAGAGAAAUAAGAUUCAAAUCCUGGUCUCCUCACUAUUAGUCCAAUGUCAGGUCAGUUGUCCUACAGCUAUUACCUGGUUACGUAAAACUGCUGAGAAUAAGUGAGUGAUCAAAAUUCAGAGCUUCUGCCUUGCUAAAGAAUCCCAUAUGUUUUAUAUCCUCUGCUCCCAGGAGGAAGUUUUUCACAGGUUUGGCAAGGUUAGCAUGCUCUCAUGUUCUCACCCUUCCUAGCUCAGAUUUGUUUCACCUGCAGGAAUUAUAAUAGCCAUAUCCUCAGACUUCCUUCCUUUUUAGAGCUUUUUAGAAAAACUAGUCAUUGGAGAGGUUACAGAAGUAAAUAUGCAAUGACACAGAGCGAUAUGACUCAAAGAAUUCCUUCCACUGACCUCAGUCUCUAGUUCAUCCAUUUCUAGAUCAUCCUGCUGUUCCCAGGGGCAAGCAAUGUGGCUAAGCACACCAGAACUCUUGUAGGAUCUUUCUAAAGGUUCCCUGCAAAAUGCAUUGUUUUUAUAACUGCCAGUUAAGUGAUGCCUCAACUGCAUUUGAGGAAGAGUGGGGACAUCCAGUGGCCAUGGAGGUUGAUAACAACUGAAUAAUCACUACAGUGAUAUCUUAUGAUUUGAUAUAAACUCUUGCAAUGCACAGGCUCUUAAAAGAUCUUUAUUUUCAACAAUUUUAGAUUACUGCAAAAGGGAUAUUUUGGUAGCCAGCAGACAUGUAUUUAGAUUUCACUUGGCAAGUGCAUCUCCCCCAAUAAUCUUAUUUUUGGAUAACAGGGUCAUAAUUACUGCUCAAAAUUAUCUACCACAUGAAACCAAAGUACAUGAUAACAUUAACUCUUCCAAAAAAAAAAAAUCUGAACAUAAUAGACCGUUUGACUUGGGUCCACUUACAUGGAUGAUCUCUGGCCUCAGGAUGUGCAUAGUACACAAAUAUUGAAAGGAGUCAUCCUUUUGAUGGUAGGAAGGAAAAUGAAAAAGUUUGAGGGGUCAAGAGGCUUCAUUGAUCAGUUAGUGCAAUUUGGAAACUGAAAUCUUUUAGUGAGGAAAGAACCCACUUGUCUUUAAACCUUCCUAGAAUAAUAUCAUUGAGAAUUAUUGGUAUUGUUCUGGCAUGAGAUGAUAUCAUUUGGCAAAAACAAACAAAAAUGCAUAUUAUUCUCCUAGAAUGCAGUUUAAUUACUAUGCUUUUGUUUUCAUCCCAUCAUAUGUCAAAUUUUAAAAGCAUUUAAAACACAACAUUCAUAUUUUUGCCUGAAUAAGACAGGUAAAGGUGGAGGACAAGAUAAACAGAACAAGGACAAGGGAAUUGCUAGCAUGGAAUCUUUGGAACAUGCAUUGUUCUAUCUGCUCUGCAAGUUGCUUAACUCAGGGGCAGCCAGCCUCAAACAAGUUAUGAAUAGAAGUGUCUAGCUUUGAGGCUUUCUCAGUCUUGGUUCAUCCCCUUGCUUUCCACAACACAUUGCAGGACUGGACAGACUUGCCCUGUACGCCAUUCUCCAAACUUCCCUAACCUUUCCAUCAGCCAUCAAAACUUAGCCAUGGCAUACAACCACAGGACCCUGCUCCUACAGAGACAUUCCUAAGCAGAAAGGAAAUUGAUGAGCCUUUAGAAAUUUAAGGGUAAAGGGCAGAUGCUAGUUGGUAUUGUUACUGCUUUAAAAGAAUUUCUCCCUAAUAGAAGAUAAUGCCUUAUCACAUAAAAAUGACUUGAAAUAUUGGAAUUUUAGGCAGGUGUUAAACUAUUUCAGAGUUUUAUAGGUCCUACCAUGUAGGCUCUCAUCUAUAGAUAAAGUCAUUCCUAAUUCUUAACCAUUAAAAGUAAUCAGAAGAGGAGCCCCUGCUGCGGCUCAGCAGUAACAAACCCAACUAGUAUCCAUGAGGACUCAGGUUCAAUCCCUGGCCCCGAUCAAUGGGUUAAGGAUCUGGCCUUGCUGUGGCUAUGGCGUAGGCCAACAGCUGCUCCAAUCUGACCCCUAGCCUGGGAACUUCCAUAUGCCAUGGUUACGGCCCUAAAAAAA